AGCGAACGCUGGCGGCGUGCCUAAUACAUGCAAGUCGAACGAAGUGGCGCACGGGGGAGUAAUAUAUAGUUAAUCUGCCCCAUACAGAGCAACAACAGUUGGAAACGACCGCUAAUACCUCAUAGUGUAGGAUGAGACUAUAUCGUACCAGCUAGUUGGCAAGGUAUUGGCUUACCAAUGCUAUGACGCGUAACUGGCCUGAGAGGAUGAUCAGGCACAUUGGAACUGAGACACGGUCCAAACUCCUACGGGAGGGAGCAGUAGGGAAUAUUGCGCAAUGGGGGGAAGCCUGGCGGGGCAACGCCGCGUGGAGGAUGGAACUUUUCGGAGCGUAAAAUCCUUUUAUCAGGAAAGCGGUACCUGAUGAAUAAGCACCGGCUAACUCCGUGCCAGCAGCCGCGGUAAUAC
rnacentral:rRNA from 1 species